GAUGAACGCUGUCUACAGGCUUAACACAUGCAAGUCGAGGGGAAACGACGGGGAAGCUUGCUUCCCCGGGCGUCGACCGGCGCACGGGUGAGUAACGCGUAUCCAACCUGCCUCUGACUGAGGGAUAACCCGUCGAAAGUCGGCCUAAUACCUCAUGGCAUCGUCUGCGGGCAUCCAACGACGAUUAAAGAUUUCAUCGGUCAGGGAUGGGGAUGCGUCUGAUUAGCUUGUUGGCGGGGUAACGGCCCACCAAGGCUACGAUCAGUAGGGGUUCUGAGAGGAAGGUCCCCCACAUUGGAACUGAGACACGGUCCAAACUCCUACGGGAGGCAGCAGUGAGGAAUAUUGGUCAAUGGGCGGGAGCCUGAACCAGCCAAGUAGCGUGCAGGAGGACGGCCCUAUGGGUGGUAAACUGCUUUUAUGCGGGGAUAAAGUGAGGGACGUGUCCUUCAUUGCAGGUACCGCAUGAAUAAGGACCGGCUAAUUCCGUG
rnacentral:rRNA from 1 species